GAUUGUGGAGGUUUUUCCAGGGGUUGGUUCAGUGACUCACGCCCCUAUCCUACUUUUUGUGGAGACUUGAAGAAAAGGCAACGUUAUUCAAAGAAAUUGUAAUAUUACUUUUCAAAAUGAAUAUUCAAAGACCUUCAUGAAUUUUGUAAAUGGUGAAAUAUUUUUGCCCAAGAUAGAAGUCUUUUUGGGAAUUUUCUGCGAAGAGCUGUUGGAAAUUAAAAUCUUAUAAAGAAGUUACGAAAAUGGUAAUGUUUUUUUUGGAUUCAUUGUACUUUUGUUAUCCUCAAUGUGAGUUAAACACGCCAAAUAAAUGAAUUAUUUUGUUGUAUUUUAUUAAGUUUAACAAUACUUUUUAAGAAUUUCUUAGACACCGAAUACAGAACCCACCAACACACCCAGCAGAACCCUCCACUCGACCCAAGGGGCGGUGGCAUUCCUCCCAGCCGCCCAAGUGGUUCCCCAGAAGUGGCGCUUAACUAAUUUGAUUCAUUCUUAUUACGCAGUCAGCGCUCGACUGCACUUGACCCUCGGCAAUUUGCGUCAAUGUCAACGCCCAACCCCCAUCCACCACCCCUGGGCCGCGGCGGCCGGCUGGGGUGGGCAAUUACCGUUGUGGGGGCAACGAUUGCGACGAUUGCUGGCUGCAGCAACGGCCUUGAACAUCCAGAGCCAACGAAUGACCUUUCAAUGCAGCGCAUCGCCCCGUCUCUUUCCGGGGUUUCAUCCAACUGAACCCGUUACUAAAAAUAAGCUCGAUGGAAAAGCUCGCCGGCUGAAGGUCAAAAAACCCACCCGGCAGUGCCUGGCCGGCAGUGCCUCCCCCUGUGUCGAGUGGGGCACAUGCAACGGCCGCGUGCGCAAGUUCAAGUGCAAGGACUAUUGCACCACGACCUCCCCGCGCCACCCACUCGGCGAGCGGUGACCUUGCCGUACACCUCGCUGCAUUGACGUACCGCACGGUCACGGCCAUGGCCACCGACGUUGGGAGCGGUUGUGGCAUCUGAAGCCCACGGAAAAUAGCUAAAACGCUUCUUCUACUAAUACCGAAAAGUGUGAAUACUUUGAAUUGUCUUCCUACAAUCAGCACUGAAGGUUUUAUUAAAGGGUUUCACACCUCUUUACUCGGUUUUAGGGUUUUAAAGUACAUACGUUUAUGAGCAUACACAUAUUAAUAAUCAUAAGUUUGCUAGUUCCAACAAAAAAUGAUAUGGUGGAGCAGUUAUUUUAAGGACAGCUGCGGCCUUUCAUAAAACAGGAGCUUAUUUAACUUCACCUACACUAAGUAAAUAUAUUGAAAAUGGUUAAUAUUCCAUUCCAUUUUUUUCUAUUAAAAAUGAUUAUAAAAAAUUUGUUAUCAUAGAUUUUGGAUUUUACUGAUCUAAAACAAUAAGUAAGGUAAUGAGUAAGGUCACGUAAUGGAAAAAAAGAGCAUG